rnacentral:rRNA from 1 species
UGAUAAACCGGAGGAAGGUGGGGAUGACGUCAAGUCAUCAUGGCCCUUACGAGUAGGGCUACACACGUGCUACAAUGGCGUAUACAAAGAGAAGCGACCUCGCGAGAGCAAGCGGAACUCAUAAAGUACGUCGUAGUCCGGAUUGGAGUCUGCAACUCGACUCCAUGAAGUCGGAAUCGCUAGUAAUCGUAGAUCAGAAUGCUACGGUGAAUACGUUCCCGGGCCUUGUACACACCGCCCGUCACACCAUGGGAGUGGGUUGCAAAAGAAGUAGGUAGCUUAACCUUCGGGAGGGCGCUUACCACUUUGUGAUUCAUGACUGGGGUGAAGUCGUAACAAGGUAACCGUAGGGGAACCUGCGGUUGGAUCACCUCCUUA